rnacentral:lncRNA from 1 species
UUAAUUCCUCCAAACAACCUUCACCAGAUAAGAUGGAGUCACCAGUUCAGAUAAAAGCAGAGAAAGUAGAGAAUUUUCCCCAAACGGAUUCUCCCUUUGAAUUGACAGUUGAUACUACAGGUGUUGGGAAAAGCCAGAGAAUGAGCUGGAUUUGUACAACCACUUUGAAACAUAGGGAUGAAAGAAAAGCACCAUCUUCCUCAGAAAGUUUGCCUCAGCUUCCUGAAGAAGCGGUUGUUUAUCUUGAUGACAUAGAGGAGUUACAAUCUUCAACGAAAAAAGGAGACUGCCAGGAUCAGAGACUAUUCAAGUUCAAGUCCCCCCUCCUGCCUAAGCGAGGACCUGUCACGGAUGGUUAUGACGUUUGUGAUGAAAGUUAUGUGGAUAAUGAUGGACCACAGGAUGAAAAGUCAAGCUCAAGGACCUUCAGUAAGAGAAGAAAUUCAUAUGAAAAAAGAUCCAGGCGGAGGUCAUUGUCUCUUGAACGUUCAAGCAUGAAGGAUAAUGACCAUGAGACUUAUUAUGAGAAGCCGUGCAAGACGUCUCCAAGUCACAAGCAUAAAUCUAACCACUACAGAAAGCUUCAGAAGAAGACAACAAUUGCAGAAUGUGAACAAUCAGCUUAUGUGCUGAAGAGACUGAAGCAACCUUGCUGCAAAUAUAAUACUAUGACAUCAUGCUGCAAUUGCCGCUUCAACAGUGAAGUAAAUAUCUGCGGCCAGGAAUAUCCUUUUUACUUUUGUACUGGUGAUGACAGGGAAGAACAGUUUCCUCCGAGGAAUCAAAAGAGAGGGCUCAGAAAUUCAGGGCAGUUUCCAAUUUGUGAUACGGAAGAAAACUUGGAUAACCAGUUUUGCCAUUGCCAAUGUUCUUGUAUUGGAGGAUGCAAGAACGAAACUGGAUGUACCAAAAUGGAAGAGAUGACUCUUAAACAGAAUCUCAGGAGAAGGAGCUACGACAACAGUGCAAGUGUAUAUGAAGUUUUCACCUUGCCCAAAAUGGAAAAGGAGAAAACCUUAGGGAAAACGAAGGGCUGUGCCUCCCCCGGCAGCCAUGUUUCUUCUAACAGUUCCUUGCCUAGUGUGGUCAGUUCCCAGACAAGAAAAGAAACAGUUCCUCCCUAUCUGAGGGCCAUGACAAUGCCCCAAGAAAGGCCUAGAGAUGGUCGCAGGUACAGCAUUCUGCGUUCCAAUUCAUUGUCCUUUCAAAACCCUAAUCACGUCCAUCCUAAGCUACCAGAUUAUGAUGACUUAGCUGCUAAAUUUAUGGCUCUCAAGAAGGAGCGUCUGCUGUAGAAGCAGUGUCGAAGAAAGCCUAGAAGAGUAUUGGCAUGCACAGCGGACAAGACCGGUUCUAUUUUUCUCCUAGUAUCUCUUGACUUCUUUUUUUUUUUUUUAUCCUGUUAUAAGAUAUAAUCAUAUGAAAAAUUAUUUGUUUCAAUUAGAACCAGGAAAUAGUCAUUUGUUCUUAGAUUAGUUUGCAAUUGCUGAAAACGAAGCUAAUAAUGUCAAGUUUUAGUGGAUUUAUCAGAGGAUUACUUUCUAUCUAUACUAAAUAUAUAUGGGUUUAGGAGAUUGCUCUUUGAGAGAAAUUAGUCUACAAGCUUGGCACUAGACUUGGCCCUCGUGGAUUGAGUCCAACGGACCCAUAGCUUAAGUUUGUCAGAAUCUAACCCAAUAAUGUUAAGGCUUUAUCCCAAUUCUUAAUUGACAGCUACGAUCCAAUCAUGUACUCGAGACUGAGGGCAAUUUGCACCCUCUACUUAUAUAUUCUUUUUCCAUUAAAAGGAAUCCCUUGGCCAAUUCAAGUGGCAUUUGGUCUUUUAUUAGAAAUUUGAUAAUAGGAAAAGUGAUUGUUGAAAGAUAAUAUUACAGUAUUUAGUAUUUAUAAAAAAAAUAUUAUUUAAAAUUUUUUAAAAAAUAAUAUUAUAAAUUUGAUUUACAAACAUUUUAUUAAGAAUGUAACAUAAAUUUUCAAAAUUAUUCUUAUAUAUCAAAAUACAAUAUACUUGCAUAAUUUUUUAUAAUUAAAAUAAUUAAGUUUUAAAAAAUUAAAUUAACUAAUUUAAAUUAGUGUAUAAUUAUAUUAACUAAUUAUUUAAUUAAUUAAAUUAAGUUAAAAUAAUUAAUCAAUUAAUAUUAAUCACACAUUUAUAUGAUUAAUUAUCAUUUUUAAUUAAUUCAUAUCUUCUUUAUUUUAAAAUUCAUAUAUGACUUUAUCAAUUAUAUCAUAAUUAAACAUUUCCAAUGUAUUUAAUUGUUUUUUUAUUUUAUUUAAUUAAAAAUAUUAAUUUUAUGGCACGUCUAUGAUCCUUUGGGGUUUGAACCCAGUCUGCUUUCUUUCUUUUCAUGUGUUUUUUUCUUUCGUUCCUUCCUGCACCCAUGGUCAGAACGACGAGCUCUUCUUCUUCUUGUUCCUUUUCUGUUUUUUUCUCUCUUCCCUACAGCACCCAUCCUCGGAAUGAAGGGCUCUUCUUCUUUUUCUUUCUCUCUUUUUUUCUCUCCCUCCUCCUUACACCCAUCACCAGAGUCAAAUCACUCAGCCCGAAAGGGUUUUUGGUCCUUUUGGUCUCAUUUUACUUUCUCUAGGUCAUGGGAAAGUAAUAUUCCCUCCAAUCCAAGAGGGAGUCACCUUCCCUCCCACAAUGGCAAUUUGAUAUCCAAGUAAAGUUACAUUCCCAAUAACUUAGCAUACCAAACAGAGCAUACUCUUUCUGUCAAUAGCUGAAAUUUAAGUCUAAUUUCGUAUAGUCUUAAAUUUUAAAAAUAAAAUUUAAAUAACCUCAUCUCUUAUUAGUAUGAGAUUUGUGAUAUUUAUCUCAUCCAAUUACAUGAGUUGACCCAUGUUAGUUGUGACAUCACUCAAUUAAAAAAAAUAUUUAUUUAUUAUAUUAUUUUUUAGAGUUUAUAUAUUUAAUAAUACUAUGAACUCACUAAUAUUUUUACAAUUUUGUAAAAAUUGGGGCCAAAAGGGAAAUUUCAUUAAAAAAUUUAUAUAUUAAUAAUAUUAACUAUUCUUUUUUAAAAAAUAAUAUUUCAAUAUUAUCAAAAAGUAGAUUUAUCAAAAAAUAAUUUAUAUAUUAAUAUUUGAAUUCUACAUGGAAAGACAAAAAGAUUUCUUUCUAUAAUUUAAUAUUUUAUUAAAAAAUCAAAACUUAAUCUAUUCUCGCUCUUCAAAAAUUCAAGUAACCUAUAGUGACUUUCCGCUUCUCGGUCCUUCGUAUAUUUUUCACUCUCUCAAACAACUCAACUAAGCUUCAAUUGUAAGUAAUUUUCAAUCCAAGAUAAGUUUUUAAAUAUUUCAUAUCUAAAUAUUUUUUGAUUAAUUUGAUAGUUUGGAUUCAUAAUUAUAAUCUUGAAAUUAUGAGUCUUUUUUUUUAUUUAUCUUAUAGAUAUUGAUUAUUUAAUUUUUGUAUUUAACUUUAUGUGGUUUGUGGAUGGUUAUACUUAGUUUUGAUAAAUGAAUAGAAAAUUAUCAUAUUGUUAGUUAUUCAACCUGAUAAUUUGUUACAUAAGAUCAUAUUUUAUUUAAUUCUAAUAUUUUAGUUUAUGCUAAUAAGUAGUAAUUUUUAACCAGUUUUUAUAAUUUUGGAUAAAUAAGCCAUGAAAAGAUAUUUUAAAAGAAAAGAAAUUAUCUCAUAAGAUUCAGAUCUCGAGCAACAACAACAAAAUUCUACUAAUGAUCAUACUCUACAAUCUUCUAAAUAAAGUCAUGUUGAAUUUGAUUUAAGUACUCUUCUGGCAAAUCCUGGAUUAAGGAAAAAAAUUUCUGAGUAUCAUCCUAAUGACAAGGAUGAAAUUAGAAGCACAUAUUUGCAAAAAAGGUCAUAUCAACCUUGCAAUCAUAAGUUUCUUCAAAGAAUUAUUUAUGGGGUUCCUCGUCGAUUUAAUUCUUCUUAGUUUAAUGACUAUAGUAGCUGGUUAAAGUAUAGCAUACAAAAAGAUGUUGCAUUUUGCUUGUGUUGUUAUUUAUUCAAAAAUGAAAUCGAGAAGCAAGGGGGAGGUGAUUCUUUUGUAACUAAAGGUUUCACAAGUUGGAACAAAAAAGAAAGAUUAAAUAUUGAUGUUGGCAAUUGCAAUAGUGCACAUAAUAAAACUUUAAUAGAAAUGCCAAGACUUCAUGAAGUAGAAACAACAUAUUGAUGUAGCACUUUGUAAGCAAACAAAACAAGUUAAAAGAGAUUAUAGAACUCGCUUAAUUGCAUCAAUGGAUUGCAUUAGGUUUCUCUUGUGCCAAGGGGUAGCUUUUUGAAGACACGAUGAAUUUGAAAAUCAACUUGAAAACUAGAUUGCAGACUUGAGUUUGGAUGAGGAAUUUGUUGAAGUAAACAGAAUUGGUGAUCUUGCAAGAAAAAUGGUUGUGACAUAUAGAAAUAUUGUGUAUCCUUUGGUUUAUUUACUAGUAAAACUUGCAUUGAUCUUACCAGUUGCAACAACAUCAGUUAAAAGAGCUUUUUUAGCAAUGAAAUUCAUAAUGCAUAGGCUACGCAAUCAAAUUAGUGACGAGCGGAUGAAUGAUUGCUUAGUGACAUAUAUUGAAAAAAAUGUAUUUGAUAGUGGUUCUACUAAUGUUAUCAAGCAACAUUUUCAAAAUAUAAAAAAUCAUUGUUGACAAUUAUAGUUCUUUUAGAUAUUUUUACUUUAAAGUAUUAAAUGAAUGUAUUGAAUUUGCAUUUUCUUUAAUUUAACAUUAAAACUUCUACUUUAUGAAUUUUAACAUAUUUAUUUUUUUAAUUAUUAUUUUAAUUAUAACAUCACUUAGAAAAAUUCCUAGGUCUACUCCUGUCCAAUUUUGCAACGUCCCUAUUGCAUUAGCUCUUUACCCGUAGAAAAAACGGACUCUUACACUAGUACGAGUCUAUUUCGACUCUUGUAUCUCUCAUGGAACUUCACAUCAAUGAAUAUUUGAGUUUGGUCUUAUACCAAAUCUCACAAACCGAAACUUAAGUCUAAUCUCGACCUUCUAUCUCUCAUGGGACUCCACAUUAAUGAAGAUCUAGGUCUAGUUUGAUACCAAAUCUCAUGGGUCGAAACUUAGGUCUAACCUCAUGCAGUCUUAAACACUAAAAAUAGAGUUUAAGUAAGUCUAUAAAUCACGGGCUUACGUUCUCAACUCAAAAAACAUGUUUAAUAAAUGAUGAAAUACCCAUGUUUAUAUUCUCAAGACUUACCACAUGUCACGACCCGGAACUCCCAUCGAGUUCGUAACAACCGUCUCGACAUCCCGAUAAACAUUCAUUACCCGAAAUGUCAAUCGAAACCUCGCAAGGCUUAACAUCAGUUUUUCUCGCUUCCCUAGUGAGUAUUAGUUGCUAAAAUCAUGUUUUGAGAGAUUAUAAAAUAUUUUCAAUUCAAAACAAUAGAAAAAUAAAUUUUCCUCACAGGGGCAUUUUGGUCAUUUUUCUUCAAAAAUCUCGAAAUCCGCUAAAAAUGUAGUAAGCGAGUACAAAACAUAGAAUUCAUAAUUAAAAUGAGUUUUAAAGUCUAAAAUUUUCAUUUAAAACGAAAUUGCGAUUAUUUGGAUAUAACAAAAAAAUAAAAGAAAUAUUAAGUAAAAUAUUCUAUUUUUUUAUAAAAUAAUAUUUAUAGAGUUAUACGUAAAUAAUUUUGUAGUGUAAAAGCUAAAUAAAUUCAUACAUACUGUAAUACAGUAAGUCAGAGUAUGUAAUUUAAUUUACAAUAACAAGAGAGCCCCCGAAUAAACAAAAGUAAAGAGGACUGUGAAUUUACAGUUUGGAAAAUACAGAUCUAACGGUAGUCCUCGAUGAGAUCAGCUAUCUACAGUUUAUACUGAACUCGAAAUGGAUGGAAAUGAGGGUGGUGAGAUUAUAAAAUCUCAAUGAGUAAACAGACAUCAUCAUAAACAUCUAGAGUUGAGUACAUGAAGACAAUAAAGUAAAUCAUCGUAAAUUGGGUAAUAGUAUUAGAAUACAUUUCAUUUAAAAUACAUGAAGAGACUUAUGAAUCUCAUAACAACUAGACUUGUGCCAUAAAUCCAUUCUCAAGGACACCUUAGCCGAGGCAUCCUAUCGAGACCGCCAAGGCUAUUAAAAUUCACACUUCACAUAAAUCAUGUUUUUGUUUUGAAAACAUAGCCGUUCCUUAGCUUUAGUUGAGUUCCCCCUCACGUGGUGGUUUGGUAAGAAGUGAACCCUAAGCUUUAUCCCAAGAGAUACCCUACGCGCAUCUCCGUUCGAGGUAAGAAUAUAAUGAGGUUUACCGUGCCCCUCUAAAAGGCUGGUCCACAAAAACCCCUACUGUAGUGAUUAAUUAAUAUAUAAUCCACCAUAUAAUAAAAUUUUAACGGCAUGACAGGGCUAAUGAAACACUACUCAGCUUGCAAGGGUAAAAUAAAACAAUUCAUACAAUUCAUAAAAUACAGCCCAACCAGUCAUGCCAACACAAUAACAAUAUAACAUAAGCCAUCAAUUUAAACAAUCAAAUUGCCACAAUUAACAGUCUCUGUGUACUCUAUUUUUUUCAAAAUCGUUAUUAGUUUCAAAACAAUUUAUAAUUUAAUUUCAUUAGAUCACCUUUAUUCAUAGAACAUGAAAAUUUACCUUUUAAAUCCAUUUUUUCAUAGAAUUCAUGAAAUCAUCUAAAAAUCACUUUAGAUAAUUAAAAUGACAGUAAGUUUACUCACAAUAUCUAGAAUGCAGACUUUUGAAGUACUCUGUCUAGUGGUCCUUGGAUGCAAUUUCCUUGCUUUUAUCGGAGGACUCACCACCUUGACAUAGUACAAAAUUGAAAAAUUCACCACAUUGAUACUAAAUUGAAAUUAAACUAAUUUAGGCUACUAAUGCAUGAUAUAGAAUGCAAAAAUGUCCGAAUAGUUGUUUAAAUACGGUAUUUGACCUAAUCCGCACUAUUCUCGAUCUAAUCGGCUAAAAUCUUUAAUUUAACUUCAAAUCGAUUCUUUUCACUUUCUACACUCUAAUUAUACCUAAAUUACCUCAGUGACUGUGAAUGAGGUUCAAUUUAUCGAUCCCGGAUCAAUAACAUGUCUAUAUGUUGAGCAAAAAUUCGUAUUUUCGCACCAAAAUUUCUCAUUUAAUUUUUAGCCUCACCAAACAUCAAAUAUCAUCAAAAUAUCAUGAAAUAUCAUCAAAUUCAGCUACAAUAUUCUCCCUAGGAAAUUUCGCCAAUGAUGGUAAUGGGGGAAAAUGAAUUCUUUUCUUGUUGUUUUGUUUCUAAAUAUGCUAAACUAACUUAAAACACUAACAUAACUUAAAAUCAAAUCAAUCUAACUUCAUUCUCUCUCCAUACCCAUUUGGGCAGCCAUGAAUUCACCAUGAAAACAUGAAAUCUAACCAUGGAAAAUAAGGAGAAAAGCAUGAGAAAGGUAGAUCACAAGUCAAAAUCAAGAAAUUUUGCCUUUGAUUGCUUGAUUCCUUGAAAUCCCAUACUUUUUCUUUAAUUUUCCCACAUAGGUUUCUUGUUUUUCUUUUCCUCUCUUUGUUCUUGCUAUGGCCGGC